ACGGGCACAUCACGUUGAAACAACGGUUACCGAACGACCACCGAUGUUAAGCAACGUCGAGCCUGGUCAGUAUCUAGAUGGGUGACCGCUUGUGAAUACCAGGUGCGGUAAG